rnacentral:rRNA from 1 species
UAGUCGAUGGGAAACAGGUUAAUAUUCCUGUACUUGGUGUUACUGCGAAGGGGGGACGGAGAAGGCUAUGUUGGCCGGGCGACGGUUGUCCCGGUUUAAGCGUGUAGGCUGGUUUUCCAGGCAAAUCCGGAAAAUCAAGGCUGAGGCGUGAUGACGAGGCACUACGGUGCUGAAGCAACAAAUGCCCUGCUUCCAGGAAAAGCCUCUAAGCAUCAGGUAACAUCAAAUCGUACCCCAAACCGACACAGGUGGUCAGGUAGAGAAUACCAAGGCGCUUGAGAGAACUCGGGUGAAGGAACUAGGCAAAAUGGUGCCGUAACUUCGGGAGAAGGCACGC